AUUAAAAACCAAUGCCCUUCGGGGCUCUCUGGUGAUUCAUAAUAACUUCUCGAAUCGCACGGCCUUGCGCCGGCGAUGGUUCAUUCAAAUUUCUGCCCUAUCAACUUUCGACGGCUGGGUCUUGGCCAGCCGUGGUGACAACGGGUAACGGAGGGUUAGGGCUCGACCCCGGAGAAGGAGCCUGAGAAACGGCUACUACAUCCAAGGAAGGCAGCAGGCGCGCAAAUUACCCAAUCCCGACACGGGGAGGUAGUGACAAUAAAUACUGAUACAGGGCUCUUUCGGGUCUCGUAAUUGGAAUGAGUACAAUUUAAAUCCCUUAACGAGGAACAAUUGGAGGGCAAGUCUGGUGCCAGCAGCCGCGGUAAUUCCAGCUCCAAUAGCGUAUAUUAAAGUUGUUGAGGUUAAAAAGCUCGUAGUUGAACCUUGGGCCUAGCCGGCCGGUCCGCCUCACCGCGUGCACUGGCUCGGCUGGGUCUUUCCUUCUGGAGAACCGCAUGCCCUUCACUGGGUGUGCC
rnacentral:rRNA from 1 species